UACAAGCUAUGAUGAUGAUGACCUUUGUGUCACAUUGCUGAAAGAUCAUGUGGACCUUUAAGUCACUACCUCAUCUGAGCUUGUG